rnacentral:rRNA from 1 species
UACGAAGGGAGCUAGCGUUGUUCGGAAUCACUGGGCGUAAAGCGCACGUAGGCGGAUGUGUCAGUCAGGGGUGAAACCCCGGAGCUCAACUUCGGAACUGCCUUUGAUACAGCACGUCUUGAGUCCGAUAGAGGUGGGUGGAAUUCCUAGUGUAGAGGUGAAAUUCGUAGAUAUUAGGAAGAACACCGGUGGCGAAGGCGGCCCACUGGGAUCGGUCAGCUGACGCUGAGGUGCGAAAGCGUGGGGAGCAAACAGG